AUUGAACGCUGGCGGCAGGCCUAACACAUGCAAGUCGAGCGGGGUUUUCGGACCUAGCGGCGGACGGGUGAGUAAUGCGUAGGAAGCUACCCGAUAGAGGGGGAUACCAGUUGGAAACGACUGUUAAUACCGCAUAAUGUCUACGGACCAAAGUGUGGGACCUUCGGGCCACAUGCUAUCGGAUGCGCCUACGUGGGAUCAGCUAGUUGGUGAGGUAAUGGCUCACCAAGGCGACGAUCCCUAGCUGGUUUGAGAGGAUGAUCAGCCACACUGGAACUGAGACACGGUCCAGACUCCGACGGGAGGCAGCAGUGGGGAAUAUUGGACAAUGGGCGCAAGCCUGAUCCAGCCAUGCCGCGUGUGUGAAGAAGGCCUUCGGGUUGUAAAGCACUUUCAGUAGGGAGGAAGCGUUGUGUGUUAAUAGUACACAGCGUUGACGUUACCUACAGAAGAAGCACCGGCUAACUCUGUGCCAGCAGCCGCCGUAAGAC
rnacentral:rRNA from 1 species